ACACUGCAUAACGGUACUGCAGAUUGAGUGCUGCCGUUAAAUGUUGACAAAUAGGAAUGGAGAUAAGUAAACAAGAUGAUAGUAUGUAGUAGUAGUGGUAGUAGUAGUAAUAUAGAUAAUAGUGAGUGGUAAACAUAAUUCGCCAUCGCAAAUAUAAUCUCGAUGUAUUAUUAGAAUAUAAACAAUUCAGUUCCGCGGUUAAAGUUUAUUAUUCGAAAAUCGUAUAUAAAUAGUGCUAGAUUGGUCGCAGGAGGUACAAAAAACGUUCCUUAUUUACCGCUAAAUCCUCGACGGUCGAUCGUGGUGGAUACCUGUAAAGGAUACAUUCACCCAAAAAGUAUCUACCAUUCCUCGUUGGAUUUAGAUUCACCUGCAAAUAGGUCGAGCAUAUAGCACAACAACGUUAGGGUAGUUGGACCGAAGUUCGGAUCAAGCGCAAAUCAUACAGCAAAUCGUAAGUUUCGUAGCGUUAGUGAUGAGUGAUCGUUAAUUAAAAUUAAUUAAUUUAAUAGGAUCAACAGAGAGAGUGUAGGAGGAAGAAAAGGAAGCUUUAUACAGUGGGAAAGGAAACCACUUUAUUGUAAGUAACAUCUAAUAUUAAUAAAAAUUGUAAGCUAAUGAUAAUAAAUGUUUACAGUUUGAGCGUUGCUGAAAACUAGUCAGCUGCUGUUGAAAAUUUGGUUUCCCUACGGGAACAAUUUCUCAAAAAUAAAGUGACACAAGCGGUGUCCAAGAGAGAAGUUCGGACCUUCCCAAAGAAAUGGCUUCCGAUUCCGAAACGGCGGACAAAACAGUCAUGGACCUGACAGCGACUCCGUGUGGAAUCUGCGGGCCAUCAACAUGCGACGAAGAAAUGGUAGGUUGCGACGGUUGCGCAAGCUGGUUUCAUUCUCGCUGUGUAGGUCUAACGGAGGGACUGAAGCCGAAGAAAUGGUUCUGCCAAA